ensembl:lncRNA
AAAAAAUGUUUUAAAAAAACUUUACGCUUCGAACACACCGACUGUGUUAUUGCAUCGCUGCUGCAUAACAUUUUGCGCAGGAAGGCAACUAUACUGAUGCAGGUACCUUUUGCAGACGGUCGAAUGCGGUUGGACACAUGGAGAGAAUCAUUUUCGCAGUAUCCUCAAAACUGUGUAUUUUUGACACAGCUGCUGACAGCUACAAACACAAAAAAUGCUGCUUGGAGACAAGUGUCCACGAUAGUAGGCUUGCCAGGUCAGUUUAGUAGUGAGCUUGUGCUAGAUGUGGCUAGUUAACGUUAGUUAGCUAGUUAACCUGUUUUUUUGUGUGUUUUUUAAAAAAUAUAUCCGUUAUUUUACCAGGUAAAUUGACUGAGAACACGUUCUCAUUUACAGCAACGACCUGGGGGAUGAAUGAGCCAAUUGUAAACUGGGGAUUAUUAGGUGACCAUGAUGGUUUGAGGGCCAGAUUGGGAAUUUAGCCAGGACACCGGGGUUAACACCUCUACUCUUACGAUAAGUGCCAUGCGAUCUUUAAUGACCUCAGAGUCAGGACACCCUUUUAACGUCCCACCCGAAAACCUAGCUAAUGAGGUGUGUGUGUGAAAGAAAGUCAAAUAAAUAAUGCUAGUUACCACCCCUGAUAACUUUACCAAAUAAUCAUGUUUGAAAGAGUGUGAGUGUGUAUGCUAGAGUAAUAGAAAUGGUAGAUACUACUGUACCCCUGAUAAUUUGGUCAGAUAACCACGUGUUUGUGUACAGUAGGUGACAUGUCCAAGAUAGCUAUCUAAUAACUGUAGUUAUGCUAGGUAGUGGUUUGGCUUAUCAUGUUCAUGCCUAUGUAGAAGAAUACUGUAGGAGGAAGUGGAGAGGACUCAGGGACAGGUAUCAGAGAGCGAGAAGGGCAGAGAAAGCAGAGAGGUCUGGGUCAGCAGCUUCAGGCCAGCAGCAUUGGUGCUUCUGCCACAUUCUUUAUUUUCUGGAUCCAUUUAUUGUGCCUAGGGAAACGAGUGGCAAUUUUACAGCCAGACCCUUUACUUCAUCCACAAGUGUGGGUGCCACCGGUGCAUCAAGACCCUUUGUCAUUUACAAGUGAGUCCACCGGUGCAGCGAGACCCUCUGUCAUCUACUAGUGCGACCAUCACCAGUGCAGCGAGACCCUCUACAACAUCCACAAGUAUGACCACCACCAGUGCAGCCAUGGAAGAUAAUGGAGCAAGCACCUCUGGAUCUAGGAACACCUGAGAUUAUUAUGACCACGAGGACCUUGAACAGGAUGUGGCCGUGGAGACAAACAUGGAGAAAUGAAGAGGAACAAUGUCACAACAGGCGCUAUCGUAGGUACUAGCUUCCAGAUCCACUCAACUCAUUUCAGCAUAGGCUACUCCAAGCCGUCGAGAGGGAGGCAGCCCAACCUGAUCCCCACAUUGAGGAUGAAGAGACACUCUUUGCCUGUUGCCAACCCUGAAGAGGCUGCCUCAAAGAAAAGCAGCAGUUAAGAUAAAAAUUCUUCAGCUGCUUUUUGAUGACAAGUUCAAUGAGAUGGAGUCAAUUUAGCCAACCACAGGUGGAAGAGUUGUCUGGUUGUUGUUUUGACCUUUUCCAAUGGGUUUUGAGCAGAUCUCCAGUGCCCUGCCCUUUCUCUCUUUAUGGCCAUGUCUGAAGUUCCCUACUACGUCUAGGCUUUAUGGAGUAGUCCCUGUAUCUGUCUGCAGUUGUGCAAAAAAAUACAUGCUCUGGUUCUCUUACAGAUUACAGGCUACACAUUUAAUUGUUGUAUUUUUACACACACAAGUUAUUUUUUAAACAUUUUUACAACACAUACCUGUCAUGUUCUUUCCUGUACUUGAAUACUUAUUAAAUUCUAAUGUUUUCA